rnacentral:rRNA from 1 species
UACGAACUGUGCGAACGUUAUUCGGAUUCACUGGGCUUAAAGGGUGCGUAGGCGGCCAAUUAAGUAGGGUGUGAAAGCCCCCGGCUCAACCGGGGAAUGGCGCCCUAAACUGGCUGGCUGGAGUGAGACAGGGGUGUGCGGAACUUCCGGUGGAGCGGUGAAAUGUGUUGAUAUCGGAAGGAACGCCGGUGGCGAAAGCGGCACACUGGGUCUCAACUGACGCUGAGGCACGAAAGCCAGGGUAGCGAACGGG